UACAGAGGGGGCAAGCGUUGUUCGGAAUUACUGGGCGUAAAGGGCGCGUAGGCGGCCUGUUAAGUCGAACGUGAAAUCCCCGGGCUCAACCCGGGAACUGCGUCCGAUACUGGCAGGCUUGAAUCCGGGAGAGGGAUGCGGAAUUCCAGGUGUAGCGGUGAAAUGCGUAGAUAUCUGGAGGAACACCGGUGGCGAAGGCGGCAUCCUGGACCAACACUGACGCUGAGGAGCGAAAGCCAGGGGAGCAAACGGG
rnacentral:rRNA from 1 species